rnacentral:tRNA from 1 species
GCUGUGCUGGCUGCCGGCCUGCGGCGCCUGUCCGGCGUGCAGGCGCGGGCAGACCCAGCUCUGCCUGGCCGGGUUCAUGAACGCGGGCACCCCC